AUUCACUUUCACCAGCCCGGCGGAAUGGCCGACUUGGAUUGCAACGAGGACAGUCAGAACGACUUCAGCCAUCACUGCCAAGCCAUCAGAACUUCAAGGCAAGAGAUGCCGCAAACACGUCACAACAGGCAAACAACCACAAUCGCCGGCAUACUUCAAGUCCUCCGACCCCCUUGAAGUUGGGGGAGGACGUGUGGGUUAAGGACGUCAAUUGCCGAGGCAGUAUCCUCAGCCCCGCUCAGUGACCAGAGUCAUAUGUGGUGGAAACGCCCAGGGGAACUCUGCAGUGAAACCGUCAGAAUUUAAUCCCCUUCUCAAAAGGCCAGUCAACAGAGGAAUUGCCAGCCAGUGAACAAAAUCAAGGACCAAGUUUACAGCAGUCUACGCCCGGUGAGGGUCAACCAGCAUCAUCGCCAGAGCCUCAGCAAGAAGGGCUUCGGCUGAGUCGCACACUUUGCGGUCGUGUGAUUGGACCGCCAAGGCGACUGACUUAUAGAUCUUAAGGGGAGAUGUAGUGGGCACUACUAAGGUGAUGGUGUUUAUCUUAUUGCUCGCCAGAGGACACCAUCAUUUAUAGAGCGCUUAUAUAAGGAGCGGCGCGUGGAAAUAAAAAGGGCUUUCUUUUUUUGGUUGUGGUCACG